rnacentral:lncRNA from 1 species
UUUGCUGUUGGCCGUUAGCUGCAAAUCUCAUGUUUGUCUUCAGUAUAUCCUUCCUUCCUUUCUUGUAAAUUAGUUGUGGGAGAUUAACUUCGAACACUUGGGCUUCCUGGCCAUUACUAUCGUGUCCCAGUAUGCCCAGCCCUAUGAUGACCUCUGCUCAGUUCAUCUGCCAUUGAUGAUUUAAAACACUGUAUAUCUUAGCUGUGGAUUGACUUCCAUACAGGUUUACCCAUACUUGCUCCUUGAAAAAUGAUUCCCCCGUUACAUUCAGAUGUAUAACUGACAGCUUCCAUUGCAGGAUUCCAUUACACAUGACAUCGUGACAGUCUACCUCAGUUUUUCUUUUCACAGUAUUCACGGGCUUCCUCCACAGGGCCUUCUGUGGGCGGGAUUUGGCAGCAGUUUUCUGUUCCCGAGAAUGUCCAACUCUCACUCUUUUCAAUCAACUUUCUACGGAACAUAAAUGAGUACCUAGCUGUGGUGGACGCCCCUCCUGUGGAACUUCGGUUCAACCCCUCAGGCUGUCUCUUGCUAGCUUCAGAAAAGGAUGCUGCCACCUUGGAAAGCAAUGUGAGAAUGCAAAGGAAGGAGCCAAGGUCUGUCUGAUGUCUCCUGAGCAGAUGCAGAACAAGUUUCCCUGGAUGAACGCAGAGGGAGUGGCUCUGGCAUCUUAUGGGUUGGAGAAUGAAGGUUGGUUUGAUGCCUGGUCUUUGCUCCAGGGUCUUCGUCGAAAGGUCCAGUCAAUGGGAGUCUUUUUCUGUCAGGGAGAGGU